AUUUCACAAAACUUAAUGUAUUUUUUACAUACUAUAUAGUUAUUACAAUAAUGCUAUCACCUUAUAUGCAUUACAAAAAAUACAAUCUCUAUAUUACACAUUAAAUCCCAUCAACUAUAUUUGGGGCCCCCAUUUAUAGAAAAUCAUAAAUAAAAAUAAAAAAUAAAAUUCCUAAAUCAUGCCUUAUUCAAUUUUUUAUCAACAUCUACUUUUGGAAAUUAUAUUUCGUUAGAUAUUUGCCGUAUAAGGGGUAUCCCCCAAUGUUUGAAUUUUUGUCGCCGUAGUGCGAUGUAUAGUUUAUUUUUUAAACGCAUGUUUUUAUCGCGCAUUAAUUUGUUUACACACUAAUCCGCCAUAUUGUUACGGAUUGGUCCGCCAUAUUGUUGUGUUCCGCCAUAUUGUUACGGAUCAAUUCGCCGUAUUGCUGCCGCUUUAUCACGGCCAUAUUUAAUUCCUAACCGCAGGGACCCCCGAUUUUAUCCCUACUAUAAUAAAUGUCACUAACCUUUGCAGCAGCUUCUAUCCUUAACAACGUAACUGAUGAAGUAAUCAUACCAGUACUUUAAUCCAGCAGUAUAUAGCACAUUUGCCCAAGAUAUCCACCGAGGUAUUGCACAUUUGCCCAAGAUAUCCAUCGUGGUAUUGCACAUUUGUCCAAGAUAUCCAUCGUGGUAUUGCACAUUUGCCCAAGAUAUCCUCAGAGGUGUAUUGCACAUUUGCCCAAGAUAUCCACCAUUCUUCAACGAUGUGGUAAGGUGGGGUAAUUUCAUAUUUAUAGUGUUGAAAAAAGGUUUGGGGUCGAUGCUGAGGGGCCUGGUGCGUGGAUUUCACGCAUGACGCCUUACCUAAGCUAGUCGAGUUUAUCUCACUCGCUCAUAUUGGUCUUAAACUAAAACCUAAGAGACCUAAUGCACUUGCAAAUACUGAAAAUGUGCAAUCCUAGCCUAGUGAGAUACCCCCUUUACAAGCCACCAUUCUGCCACAACAUCAACUUUUAUGAGUUUAUAAAUGCUUGAAAUAUACUUGUGUAAAUCAACUUUACAGUUUUAUGAAAAUGUACAUGGACUUAUGAUUGGCA
rnacentral:lncRNA from 1 species